rnacentral:rRNA from 1 species
AUUGAACGCUGGCGGAAUGCUUUACACAUGCAAGUCGAGCGGCAGCGCGGGGCAACCUGGCGGCGAGCGGCGAACGGGUGAGUAAUACAUCGGAACGUACCCAGUUGUGGGGGAUAGCCCGGCGAAAGCCGGAUUAAUACCGCAUACGACCUGAGGGUGAAAGGGGGGGAUCGCAAGACCUCUCGCAGUUGGAGCGGCCGAUGGCGGAUUAGCUAGUUGGUAGGGUAAAGGCCUACCAAGGCGACGAUCCGUAGCUGGUCUGAGAGGACGACCAGCCACACUGGAACUGAGACACGGUCCAGACUCCUACGGGAGGCAGCAGUGGGGAAUUUUGGACAAUGGACGCAAGUCUGAUCCAGCAAUGCCGCGUGCAGGACGAAGGCCUCGGUUGUAACUGCUUUGUACAGAACGAAAGGGCGUCUGGUUAAUACCUGGGGCAGAUGACGGUACUGUAAGAAUAAGCACCGGCUAACUACGUGCCAGCAGCCGCGGUAAUGUAGUCG